rnacentral:rRNA from 1 species
UUGAACGCUGGCGGCAGGCUUAACACAUGCAAGUCGAGCGGUAGCACAGGGGAGCUUGCUCCCUGGGUGACGAGCGGCGGACGGGUGAGUAAUGUCUGGGAAACUGCCUGAUGGAGGGGGAUAACUACUGGAAACGGUAGCUAAUACCGCAUAACGUCGCAAGACCCAAGAGGGGGACCUUCGGGCCUCUUGCCAUCAGAUGUGCCCAGAUGGGAUUAGCUAGUAGGUGGGGUAAUGGCUCACCUAGGCGACGAUCCCUAGCUGGUCUGAGAGGAUGACCAGCCACACUGGAACUGAGACACGGUCCAGACUCCUACGGGAGGCAGCAGUGGGGAAUAUUGCACAAUGGGCGCAAGCCUGAUGCAGCCAUGCCGCGUGUGUGAAGAAGGCCUUCGGGUUGUAAAGCACUUUCAGCGAGGAGGAAGGUGGUGAGCUUAAUACGCUCAUCAAUUGACGUUACUCGCAGAAGAAGCACCGGCUAACUCCGUG